rnacentral:tRNA from 1 species
GGGUAGGUGGCCGAGUGGAAAUGGCAGCAGACUGUAAAUCUGCCGGCGUUUGCCUACGGAGGUUCAAAUCCUCCCCUGCCCAC